UAAGUAAGUGGUGGAAAUUAAACCAAAUGGGAUAUCUUUAGUAAUUGCGAAUGAACAAGGAUAUGCUUAGCUUGACAAAUGGAGCUAUUGGCUUUGAAUUGUAUUUGUGGAAUGUAUUACCAACAGAGGUGCAGGUGCCAGCCUAUUAAAUAAAGCGUCAAUGAGGGUGAGAAUCCUGUUUGUCAUGUGCAGCCCUUUGUGCACGGUGUAUAUUUGCUGAGUCACACUCCUUGGCAUUGGAAUGCAAAGUGGGUGGUAAGUUUCAUGUACAGGUAAACAUGCAAUUGAGACUGAUAGCACACAAGUACCAUGAGGGAAAUAUGAAAAGGGCUUUGAAAAGAGAAUUAAAUGAGUUUGUAUUUGCUGAACACAAAGUAAACAGACUUGAUUUGCUUGGUGGGAGUGUUGCACUUGCUUGACAAGAGCUUUGGGCUGUGGGUGUAAUGAUUCUUUCUUUGCAUGCCAGUUUCUAUGUGUACAUCUGAUUACCUUUGCACAUGAAUGAUAAGUCUCCUGUGGGGGGUGGAUUGCAUGUGCAUGUAAUGAUUUGUGUUUUGAUAAAUGUGUCUGGUGUAUGUGUGUGUGUUCCUGUGCUUGGGGAUGCUUCCUUCCUUGGACUUACAAGCCCUGACACACACAUGCUGGCAAAAUGCUUCUGCUUGACCCG
rnacentral:rRNA from 1 species